AUACGUAGGAUGCAAGCGUUAUCCGGAUUUAUUGGGUUUAAGGGGUGCGUAGGCGGUUUGCUAAGCGGGAGGUGAAAUGCCGGCGCUCAACGUCGGAAGUGCCUCCCGAACUGGUGGACUUGAAUGACUCUGCCGUGGGAGGAAUGUGUAGUGUAGCGGUGAAAUGCUUAGAGAUUACACAGAACACCGAUUGCGAAGGCAUCUCACGAAGGGUUGAUUGACGCUGAGGCACGAAAGCGUGGGGAUCAAACAGGAUUAGAUACCCUGGUAGUCCACGCAGUAAACGAUGAUGGCUAACCGCUGGUUUAUUCGGAUCAGUGGCCAAGCGAAAGCGAUAAGCCAUCCACCUGGGGAGUACGACCGCAAGGUUGAAACUCAAAUGAAUUGACGGGG
rnacentral:rRNA from 1 species